rnacentral:rRNA from 1 species
GGCAGCAGCCAGACCACCUGCAGUUCACACUAGGUAAUCCACCUGAAGCUAAGCAGGUUUGGGCCUGGCCAGUUCUUGGACAUGAGACCAUCUAGGAAAGUUGGGUUGCUGCUGGAA